CUGGGAAAAAUGCCAGCCGGCUUUUGAGUUCUUUUUCGAACUCUGUCUGUGUAGUUUCCAUAGGAGGUGUUGCAGCAGCUGCUCUAUCUCCCUCCAUGAGUUCAGCAACAAGGAUGGCUUUAGCUUUAUUGCUGGCAAUGAUUCCCCUUGUUUCCAAUAGCUCUUUUAUUGUAGCCCGUUUCAAAUGUGUAUAAUCCGUCCCCAUUCACUGUCCGUUCGGGUAUAUUCACAUACCCUCGAGCUUCAGUUUCAUACGAAUAGGGAUUUCCAUGAAUUGCUGUUCCUGUUCUCUUAUUCUUGCUCAAUCUGCCAAACAACGGUCUGCUGUGAGAUUUGAAUCCUGUCGCUUGCCACCAAUUGUAGCGGAGUAGCAGGGGUUAAUCCAAGAGUUCUCCGCUUGAAACAAAGCUUCAGCAUACAGGAAUAUAAAAUAUAGCAUAAUCCCCCUCCCCAAGGACUAGACAACACAUAGUCUGGGAGUCAACUGGCUUUUAUUGC